AGAGCCAAUGAAGUAGAUUUGUGUCUCCCACAUGACUGUGUUUCCCCUGUCUUUCACAUGGGCAGUAUUUAGUUCAAUUCAGAACUGCAGAUAGUACAGCCUGCUUUGCAGCAAUGGGAUGUCUGAACACAAGUGGCUGACUUCCGAGUGACUUUAUGAAGCACUUUUAUACUUUCCUCCUGCAUUAAACUGGGAUUCUGCAUUCUUGGCACUCCCUCAUCAGACUCUUCUCUGCUGCAGGGAACUGAGUAUUUAGUACAGCUUAGCAUUAUGAAACUCUACGCAUCUGGUGGUAUUUGACAGACCUUCCCUACUUCAGCAAACCAGAAGAAUUUCAGCAGAAACCUUACAAGGAAUCUGAGCAGAAUUGCAGACCAGCAAAUUAAAAGAGGCUGAAGGCAAUUUGACCAGCAUCUUCUAUGUUCAGUCCACAGAGGUUGAUGAAGCACCAAGUCUCCAAGGUUGAGCUUCAAGAUAAUAUGAUGAUGUUGCAUUCAAGAGGGCUCUUUAGAAAAAGAAGGAAAAGUAUGAACUAUGAACAAGAAGAAAGUGAUGGCACCCUGGAAUUUCUACAGAAUCACUUGCUGAGCUGAUAAAAUCUAUUAACCUGUUUUGGGAUCCACAAAGUCAUUGAAGCUGCACCUGCUAACAUCGGGUCCAAAUUUGGCCUACAAGCUUCUCAGUGUUUCAUAAGUAUAAAUUCUAUGUUCGUUCAUGAAGCAUUAUAAAAGCCUGAUGUCUGAAAAAUAUUAUUAACCUCUUGUAAUAGCUAAGAUAAAAGAAUAAAUCUAGUUGUAUCUACUCUUAACUAUAAUAA
rnacentral:lncRNA from 1 species